CACGUAGGGCGCAAGCGUUGUCCGGAAUUAUUGGGCGUAAAGAGCUCGUAGGCGGUCCGUUGCGUCCGCUGUGAAAACUCGGGGCUUAACCCCGAGCCUGCAGUGGAUACGGGCAGACUAGAGGUAGGUAGGGGAGAAUGGAAUUCCCGGUGUAGCGGUGAAAUGCGCAGAUAUCGGGAGGAACACCGGUGGCGAAGGCGGUUCUCUGGGCCUUACCUGACGCUGAGGAGCGAAAGUGUGGGGAGCGAACAGG
rnacentral:rRNA from 1 species